GUGCCACACAGCAACACCCUUUAGUCCCGGCUGGUAAAACCAGUCGCGACUAAAUGGUCCUUUAGUUUUUUUAUUUUCUUUUCAGUUUUGUUUUUAGUAUUGGUUAUUCAUAGGUUUUCCAAUAUGUAUUAGCAGCAUAGGAUAAUAAGCUUAUUUUAUGCAUAUAUAAUUGAAUUAUAUAACUACAUAUAUAUAUAUAAAUAUAUGCACAUAAAUAUAUAGAAGUUGUUCUCCAAAUCUAUUACUGCACAAGUUGUACUCCAAAGUUAGUACUCUAAGCCUAUUACAAGUUGUGCUUUAUCAUCCAAAGAUCUACAGGGCAUACAAAUGAUCAUCAUUGUUUGGAAUCAUCGUCUCGUUAGGAUUAUAGUGGAACUUGCUGCUUGGAUUUAUGACUUGUUCCUAAAGAAAUUCGGCUAUUGCCUUUUGUAUUGCUUGAAGUUGUUCAUGUUGCAUGAGUUUUUGCUUCAACCAUUCAGUCUUCAAUUUGAACUAAAAGAAGAUAUUAGUUAUAUCAAGAUUAUUAAUAGUAAUUCAAG
rnacentral:lncRNA from 1 species